rnacentral:rRNA from 1 species
GAACCCAACAGGGAAUUCCCCAAUAACGGCGAGUGAAGCGGCAACAGCUCAAAUUUGAAAUCUGGCCCCCGGGUCCGAGUUGUAAUUUGUAGAGGAUGCUUUUGGCGCGGCGCCUUCCGAGUUCCCUGGAACGGGACGCCUUAGAGGGUGAGAGCCCCGUACGGUUGGACGCCUAGCCUCUGUAAAGCUCCUUCGACGAGUCGAGUAGUUUGGGAAUGCUGCUCUAAAUGGGAGGUAAAUUUCUUCUAAAGCUAAAUACCGGCCAGAGACCGAUAGCGCACAAGUAGAGUGAUCGAAAGAUGAAAAGCACUUUGAAAAGAGGGUUAAAUAGCACGUGAAAUUGUUGAAAGGGAAGGACUUAUGACCAGACUUUUGCCUUGGGGAUCAUCCGGUGUUCUCACCGGUGCACUUCGCUUGGCUUAGGCCAGCAUCGGUUUCUGUGGGGGGACAAAAGCUCCGGGAACGUAGCUCCUUUGGGAGUGUUAUAGCCCUCUGCAUAAUACCCCCGUGGGGACCGAGGUUCGCGCUUCUGCAAGGAUGCUGGCAUAAUGGUCAUCAGUCACCCGUCUUGAAACACGGACCAAGGAGUCGAACAUUUGUGCAAGUGUUUGGGUGUUAAACCCUCACGCGUAAUGAAAGUGAACGGAGGUGAGAGCCGCAAGGUGCAUCAUCGACCGAUCCUGAAGUCUUCGGAUGGAUUUGAGUAAGAGCAUAACUGUUCGGACCCGAAAGAUGGUGAACUAUGCGUGGAUAGGGUGAAGCCAGAGGAAACUCUGGUGGAGGCUCGCAGCGGUUCUGACGUGCAAAUCGAUCGUCAAAUCUGCGCAUGGGGGCGAAAGACUAAUCGAACCAUCUAGU